rnacentral:misc_RNA from 1 species
GUGAAUCAUCGAAUCUUUGAACGCACAUUGCACUUCUUGGUAUUCCGGAAAGUAUGCCCGUUUGAGGGUCAGUUAAAUAAUAAUCGGUGUUGCUGCUGAAUUUCGUGGUGACGAGUCGGACUUGGGUCGUCUUACUUUCGGUUAAGUGAUUUAAAAUUUUUGUAUGAUUUUCGAUCGUAUUUAAAUCGCUUACGUACGUCUGAGAUAUCGAAUGCUGAUUAGGUUCGGUCA